GACGAACGCUGGCGGCGUGCUUAACACAUGCAAGUCGAACGAAGAGCGAUGGAAGCUUGCUUCUAUCAAUCUUAGUGGCGAACGGGUGAGUAACGCGUAAUCAACCUGCCCUUCAGAGGGGGACAACAGUUGGAAACGACUGCUAAUACCGCAUACGAUCUAAUCUCGGCAUCGGGGAUAGAUGAAAGGUGGCCUCUACAUGUAAGCUAUCACUGAAGGAGGGGAUUGCGUCUGAUUAGCUAGUUGGAGGGGUAACGGCCCACCAAGGCGAUGAUCAGUAGCCGGUCUGAGAGGAUGAACGGCCACAUUGGGACUGAGACACGGCCCAGACUCCUACGGGAGGCAGCAGUGGGGAAUCUUCCGCAAUGGACGAAAGUCUGACGGAGCAACGCCGCGUGAGUGAUGACGGCCUUCGGGUUGUAAAGCUCUGUUAAUCGGGACGAAAGGCCUUCUUGCGAAUAGUGAGAAGGAUUGACGGUACCGGAAUAGAAAGCCACGGCUAACUACGUG
rnacentral:rRNA from 1 species